UACGUAGGGGGCAAGCGUUGUCCGGAUUUAUUGGGCGUAAAGAGCUCGUAGGCGGUUCGGUAAGUCGGAUGUGAAAUCUCCAGGCUCAACCUGGAGGGGUCAUUCGAUACUGCCGUGACUAGAGUUCGGUAGGGGAGUGUGGAAUUCCUGGUGGAGCGGUGAAAUGCGCAGAUAUCAGGAGGAACACCGGUGGCGAAGGCGGGUCUCUGGGCCGAUACUGACGCUGAGGAGCGAAAGCGUGGGGAGCGAACAGG
rnacentral:rRNA from 1 species